UCCUCCUUAGCUCAGGUGGUUAGAGCAUCUGACUGUUAAUCAGAGGGUCCUUGGUUCGAGCCCAAGAGGGGGAG
rnacentral:tRNA from 1 species